ACNNCUUAGAGGGACUAGUGGCGUUUAGCCACGCGAGAUUGAGCAAUAACAGGUCUGUGAUGCCCUUAGAUGUUCGGGGCGCACGCGCGCUACACUGAAGGAAUCAGCGUGUGUCUGCCCUUGGCCGGAAGGUCUGGGUAAUCCGUUGAACCUCCUUCGUGAUUGGGAUAGGGAAUUGNAAUUAUUUCCCUUGAANNNGGAAUUCCGAGUAAGCGCGAGUCAUCAGCUCGCGUUGAU
rnacentral:rRNA from 1 species